GGUCCUGGCUGGUCAUUCCUUCUCUCGUUUCAGGUUGCCCUUCCCGCCCGGGGACCGAGUGACCUUCAACGGGAAGGAAUGCAUGUGCCAGAAGUGUUCCCUGCCCAAGUCCGCGGGUGGCAGCACGCACCUGUCCCAGGGCCUCUGGAGUUGUGGGGGCUGCGGCACAGAAAUCCAAAGCGGCCAGUCCCUGGUGGCUCUGGACAAGCACUGGCACCUGGGCUGCUUUAGGUGCAAGGCCUGCGGGAAGGAGCUGAGCGCCGAGUACA